rnacentral:rRNA from 1 species
UUUUUUUUGAAGAGUUUGAUCCUGGCUCAGGACGAACGUUGGCGGUGUGUCUAAGGCAUGCAAGUCGAACGAGAUCGCUUUCUUCGGAAAGCAUAUAUCUAGUGGCAGACGGCUGAGUAACGCGUAAGUAACUUACCCUUGAGUGGGGAAUAACACAGAGAAAUCUGUGCUAAUACCGCAUACGAUUUAUUAAUAAUUUUUAUAAAUGAAAGAUUUAUCGCUCUUGGAUGGGCUUGCGUCCUAUCAGGUUGUUGGCGGGGUAAUGGCCCACCAAGCCUAAGACGGGUAGCUGGUGUGAGAGCACGACCAGCCAGAGGGGGACUGAGACACGGCCCCCACUCCUACGGGAGGCAGCAGCUAAGAAUAUUGCACAAUGGACGAAAGUCUGAUGCAGCGACACCGCGUGAAGGAUGAAGGCCCUAGGGUUGUAAACUUCUUUUAUUAGGGAAUAGCAAGGAAGGUACCUAAUGAAUAAGCAACGGCUAACUACGUGCCAGCAGCCGCGGUAAUACGUAGGUUGCAAACGUUGUCCGGAAUCACUGGGCGUAAAGGGUCCGUAGGCGGUUUGAUAAGUCUCAUAUGAAAGCUUCAAGCUCAACUUGGAGAUGUUGUGAGAUACUGUCAGACUAGAGACUGUUAGAGGUAAGUGGAAUUCCAGGUGUAGUGGUGAAAUGCGUAGAUAUCUGGAGGAACACCAGUGGCGAAAGCGACUUACUGGGACAGUUCUGACGCUAAGGGACGAAAGCGUGGGGAGCGAACCGGAUUAGAUACCCGGGUAGUCCACGCCGUAAACGAUGAUUGCUAGGUUUUCGGGGCAUCGACC